rnacentral:rRNA from 1 species
UACGAAGGUCCCAAGCGUUGUUCGGAAUCACUGGGCGUAAAGGGAGCGUAGGCGGCGUGGUAAGUCAGAUGUGAAAUCCCGGGGCUCAACCUCGGAACUGCCUUUGAUACUGAUGGUCUCGAGUCCGGAAGAGGUGAGUGGAAUUCCUAGUGUAGAGGUGAAAUUCGUAGAUAUUAGGAAGAACACCAGUGGCGAAGGCGGCUCACUGGUCCGGUACUGACGCUGAGGUGCGAAAGCGUGGGGAGCAAACAGG